GAUGAACGCUGGCGGCGUGCUUAAUACAUGCAAGUCGAGCGAAAAGACGCGGAGCUUGCUCCUCUGACGUUAGCGGCGGACGGGUGAGAAACACGUGGAUCCCCUCCCUAUCAGACUGGGAUAACUUCGGGAAACCGGAGCAAAUACCGGAUAAUCUAUUGAACCGCAUGGUUCAUUAGUGAAAGUCGGUUUUGCUGUAACUUCUCGCUGGUUCCGGGCUGCUUUGGCUAGUAGGUAAGGUACAGGCUUACCAAGGCAAGUAUGCGUAGCCGACGUGAGAGACGGGUAGCCGACAUGGGAACGUGGACACGGACAAGACGCCUACGAGAGGCAGCAGAAUGGAAUCGGCCGCAAUAGGCGAAAACCUGACGGAACGACGCCGCGUGAGUGACGAAGGUCUUCGGAGCGUAAAACUCUGUUAUGAGUGAAGAACAAAUGUGUAAGGAACUAUGCACGUCGUGACGGUACCGAGUCAGAAAGCCACGGCUAACUACGUG
rnacentral:rRNA from 1 species